UCCAACAGCCUAUUGAUUGUGAAUGGUAUGCGCAAUACAAACAGAUUUUUACUGUUCUGUUCAAUCAAAUGCUUUGUGUCAUGCCUUUUGGUUUUGAGUUUCCUUGAAAUUUUGGCUUGCCUAUUUAUGGUGAAUUUAGAUGAACAACGUAAGCUGUUUGUACACGGACUCAUGUAGGAUAUUUGGUGCUAUUCAGUUAAAUUGGUUUUUGACGAAUGCAGGGACCUAAUGACUUAGACAGAUGACAAUGCACCUUUAGUAGAAACUGAUUUAGAUGUUCUAUCCAAAACCCAGCAAUCAGAAGCAAAUGUUCUAUCCAAAACCCAGCAAUCAGAAGCAAAUGAACUGUUAUCUGAUGGGACUUGCAGUUGCCCAUCAUGUGAUUCUGGGUUGGAAGCUUCAUCGGACACCUCUGGACCAACCACUGAAGCUAGCUCAGUAGGAACGAAAUCUAUUGGCAUCUCAGAUCUCUUACCAGAGAAGCUGGCUGUGAAAUUAGAAUUUACUCUACCAGCAUCGUCUUAUGCUACAAUGGCCAUCAGAGAGUUGACGAAGACUUCAACUUCGGUUGCUUGCCAGAAAACAUUGAACUGCCGAACCUUUUGGUAACACGCAUUCUUCAUGGAAGCUGAUCUCUAUUGACUAUUGUCAUCAGGCAUGUAUGUCUAGCAGGAACUUUCAACAUCACAUUCUGUCAUGGAUUCUGCAGAUUGGAGGAUUUCUCUAGUUGCGGAUAGCUUGGGUAUGACGGAUUGAAGCUUCACGUCCAGGUCCGGCAUGAAAGCUGAACAAAGUUUCUGAAAGAAGGCUAAGAGCGUCUUCAUUAAUACAUAUCAGCUAGCUAUAAAGUUGUCUGUAUUAGAUUUUUGUUUAGUGGAGGAGAGAGCUAAAGAAGAGAUGGAAAAUGUAGCUUUUAAUACGUAGAUAGACUACAACGAGGUAUUAAAAACAAGACAAAAGUUUCAUGGUGUUGGUUAAGAGAAAACAUGGGUGAGUGGACUAAUUAAAAGUUUAUUGUGCUAUAGACCAGCUAUUGGAGAUGUUAGCUAUUGCACUGUAUAUAGCUGAAAUGGAACAAAUAAUAGAU